rnacentral:rRNA from 1 species
AGGUUACUGCUAUCGGUGUUCGCCUAAGCCAUGCGAGUCAUAUGUUCUUCGUGAACAUGGCGUACUGCUCAGUAACACGUGGAUAACCUGCCCUUGGGUCCGGCAUAACCCCGGGAAACUGGGGAUAAUUCCGGAUAACGCACAUAUGCUGGAAUGCUUUAUGCGUCAAAUGGAUUCGUCCGCCCAAGGAUGGGUCUGCGGCCUAUCAGGUAGUAGUGGGUGUAAUGUACCUACUAGCCUACGACGGGUACGGGUUGUGAGAGCAAGAGCCCGGAGAUGGAUUCUGAGACAUGAAUCCAGGCCCUACGGGGCGCAGCAGGCGCGAAAACUUUACAAUGCGGGAAACCGUGAUAAGGGGACACCGAGUGCCAGCAUCAUAUGCUGGCUGUCCGGGUGUGUAAAAUACACCUGUUAGCAAGGGCCGGGCAAGACCGGUGCCAGCCGCCGCGGUAACACCGGCGGCCCGAGUGGUGAUCGUGAUUAUUGGGUCUAAAGGGUCCGUAGCCGGUUUGGUCAGUCCUCCGGGAAAUCUGACGGCUUAACCGUUAGGCUUUCGGGGGAUACUACCAGACUUGGAACCGGGAGAGGUAAGAGGUACUACAGGGGUAGGAGUGAAAUCUUGUAAUCCCUGUGGGACCACCUGUGGCGAAGGCGUCUUACCAGAACGGGUUCGACGGUGAGGGGCGAAAGCUGGGGGCACGAACCGGAUUAGAUACCCGGGUAGUCCCAGCCGUAAAUGAUGCUCGCUAGGUGUCAGGCAUGGCGCGACCGUGUCUGGUGCCGCAGGGAAGCCGUGAAGCGAGCCACCUGGGAAGUACGGCCGCAAGGCUGAAACUUAA